UACAGAGGUGGCAAGCGUUGUUCGGAAUUACUGGGCGUAAAGGGCGCGUAGGCGGUCUUCUAAGUCUUGUGUGAAAUCCCUCGGCUCAACUGAGGAACUGCACGGGAUACUGGAAGACUUGAGUUCGGGAGAGGGAAGCGGAAUUCCGGGUGUAGCGGUGAAAUGCGUAGAUAUCCGGAGGAACACCGGUGGCGAAGGCGGCUUCCUGGACCGAUUACUGAGCUGAGCGC
rnacentral:rRNA from 1 species